CUGAAACCGUGUACGUACAAGCAGUGGGAGCCUCUUUAUGGGGUGACUGCGUACCUUUUGUAUAAUGGGUCAGCGACUUAUAUUCUGUAGCAAGGUUAACCGAAUAGGGGAGCCGAAGGGAAACCGAGUCUUAACUGGGCGUUAAGUUGCAGGGUAUAGACCCGAAACCCGGUGAUCUAGCCAUGGGCAGGUUGAAGGUUGGGUAACACUAACUGGAGGACCGAACCGACUAAUGUUGAAAAAUUAGCGGAUGACUUGUGGCUGGGGGUGAAAGGCCAAUCAAACCGGGAGAUAGCUGGUUCUCCCCGAAAGCUAUUUAGGUAGCGCCUCGUGAAUUCAUCUCCGGGGGUAGAGCACUGUUUCGGCAAGGGGGUCAUCCCGACUUACCAACCCGAUGCAAACUGCGAAUACCGGAGAAUGUUAUCACGGGAGACACACGGCGGGUGCUAACGUCCGUCGUGAAGAGGGAAACAACCCAGACCGCCAGCUAAGGUCCCAAAGUCAUGGUUAAGUGGGAAACGAUGUGGGAAGGCCCAGACAGCCAGGAUGUUGGCUUAGAAGCAGCCAUCAUUUAAAGAAAGCGUAAUAGCUCACUGGUCGAGUCGGCCUGCGCGGAAGAUGUAACGGGGCUAAACCAUGCACCGAAGCUGCGGCAGCGACACUAUGUGUUGUUGGGUAGGGGAGCGUUCUGUAAGCCUGUGAAGGUGUACUGUGAGGUAUGCUGGAGGUAUCAGAAGUGCGAAUGCUGACAUAAGUAACGAUAAAGCGGGUGAAAAGCCCGCUCGCCGGAAGACCAAGGGUUCCUGUCCAACGUUAAUCGGGGCAGGGUGAGUCGACCCCUAAGGCGAGGCCGAAAGGCGUAGUCGAUGGGAAACAGGUUAAUAUUCCUGUACUUGGUGUUACUGCGAAGGGGGGACGGAGAAGGCUAUGUUGGCCGGGCGACGGUUGUCCCGGUUUAAGCGUGUAGGCUGAUUUUCCAGGCAAAUCCGGAAAAUCAAGGCUGAGGCGUGAUGACGAGGCACUACGGUGCUGAAGCAACAAAUGCCCUGCUUCCAGGAAAAGCCUCUAAGCAUCAGGUAACAUCAAAUCGUACCCCAAACCGACACAGGUGGUCAGGUAGAGAAUACCAAGGCGCUUGAGAGAACUCGGGUGAAGGAACUAGGCAAAAUGGUGCCGUAACUUCGGGAGAAGGCACGCUGAUAUGUAGGUGAAGCGACUUGCUCGUGGAGCUGAAAUCAGUCGAAGAUACCAGCUGGCUGCAACUGUUUAUUAAAAACACAGCACUGUGCAAACACGAAAGUGGACGUAUACGGUGUGACGCCUGCCCGGUGCCGGAAGGUUAAUUGAUGGGGUUAGCGCAAGCGAAGCUCUUGAUCGAAGCCCCGGUAAACGGCGGCCGUAACUAUAACGGUCCUAAGGUAGCGAAAUUCCUUGUCGGGUAAGUUCCGACCUGCACGAAUGGCGUAAUGAUGGCCAGGCUGUCUCCACCCGAGACUCAGUGAAAUUGAACUCGCUGUGAAGAUGCAGUGUACCCGCGGCAAGACGGAAAGACCCCGUGAACCUUUACUAUAGCUUGACACUGAACAUUGAGCCUUGAUGUGUAGGAUAGGUGGGAGGCUUUGAAGUGUGGACGCCAGUCUGCAUGGAGCCGACCUUGAAAUACCACCCUUUAAUGUUUGAUGUUCUAACGUUGACCCGUUAUCCGGGUUGCGGACAGUGUCUGGUGGGUAGUUUGACUGGGGCGGUCUCCUCCUAAAGAGUAACGGAGGAGCACGAAGGUUGGCUAAUCCUGGUCGGACAUCAGGAGGUUAGUGCAAUGGCAUAAGCCAGCUUGACUGCGAGCGUGACGGCGCGAGCAGGUGCGAAAGCAGGUCAUAGUGAUCCGGUGGUUCUGAAUGGAAGGGCCAUCGCUCAACGGAUAAAAGGUACUCCGGGGAUAACAGGCUGAUACCGCCCAAGAGUUCAUAUCGACGGCGGUGUUUGGCACCUCGAUGUCGGCUCAUCACAUCCUGGGGCUGAAGUAGGUCCCAAGGGUAUGGCUGUUCGCCAUUUAAAGUGGUACGCGAGCUGGGUUUAGAACGUCGUGAGACAGUUCGGUCCCUAUCUGCCGUGGGCGCUGGAGAACUGAGGGGGGCUGCUCCUAGUACGAGAGGACCGGAGUGGACGCAUCACUGGUGUUCGGGUUGUCAUGCCAAUGGCACUGCCCGGUAGCUAAAUGCGGAAGAGAUAAGUGCUGAAAGCAUCUAAGCACGAAACUUGC
rnacentral:rRNA from 1 species